AGUCCAAGAUUGAAUUUACAUUUUUAAAUCAAAUUCCGAGUUUUGAUAUGACAAUCCGAGUCUUUAAUUUUUGUUGAAUAGUUUUUCCAAAAGAUGAGAUUAUUAUAAUUGCUGGCAAAUCAUUAUCUAAUUAUUUAAUUGUGUUGUUGACUAAUUAUUUAAGAUACAAAAAUGGCGCUCAAAAUUUGAUUGGACAAGGUGUUGUAUUUUUUGGCGGAUAUUUUUUGCUUGUUCAUCUUAAGUCUUUCAUGAUUUAUUUUUGUGAUUACUUAACGUUCCAAUAUUGGUUUUUAAUUAUUGUUUUAAGUGUUUUAUGUGAACAAAAGUAAUUUUCCUCUGAUGAUGACAAGAUGGUGCUUUAAGCUUGUUCAGGAAAUAGGUUAAUUAUUUUACUAAUUGUCAUUGUUGAUUUACUGUAAGCUUACCGGAAAGCCUAAAACAGAGUCAAGAGGAAAAACAUUUUACCAAUGGACCUUGCAAGUCAACAUUUUUACAGUUAAUUGUCAUUGUAAAUGUUGUUGUUAAAUGUCCUCUUCCUCCUCUCUUCCUCUACUUCAUGUACUGGGUUUAUAAUGGAUGAAAAUUCAAUUAUCAUUUGAUUUAUGAAAAUCACAACAACAACAAGAUCAACGAGAAAAAUGGUAAAGCACACAAACACAAAGAUGAGUGGAUUACAAAUAUGAUUAACAUACAGGAUCAAGUGUAAGGCGUAUGACAAUGGUGAUAAUCUGAAGAUGAUACUUUUUUCAUUCAACAUCUCUUUCCAUCUCGAUGAAUAUGGCUACUGGAAAAAUGGCAAAGCUUUUACAUUUUUUGCUGUUGACUUGAUUCUCUGGUUCUUUACAGUGAGACCGGCAAUGCGGAGAUGAGGAGGAUGGCAAGGAGGAUUGCUAUGAGGAUGCUGAGAUGAGCAUAAUAUCAAAGAUAAUCUAAUUACUUGCCAAGAGGCAAACGCUAAUGGUUUCUGUUGAACAAUCUGAACCUUUUUGUGAGAUUCACAAGUAAUCAACUUAUUCAUUGUUGAAGCAAAUCAAUUGGUUAAAUGUUGCUAUUGCUUCCUUCAUGUAUAAAGUGGUAAAUGGAUGAUGAUAAUAAUCAUAACAAAGACAGCAUUAUUUUUUUAUAUCAAAAUUUGUUUUAUCAUCUUCAAUGAAGACAUCAUUAGAUUUUUAAAACAUCAUCAUGUCUCGAAAGGACUAUUUUAUGCAUUUAAGUGAAACAUUCAGUUAAAAUGGAAAAGUUUAUCAGUGUCAUUUUGAUGCUAAACACUGUUUACAAGUUGAUCGAUUUUGAUGGUUGCUGGUCCAAAGACUGACUUUUAAUUUUCAUCUAACUGUCAUUGAUUUUAGAAGCAAUAAUGAUUUGGAAUCUAA